AGCGAACGCUGGCGGCAGGCCUAACACAUGCAAGUCGAACGAAGUCUUCGGACUUAGUGGCGGACGGGUGAGUAACACGUGGGAACGUGCCUUUAGGUUCGGAAUAACUCAGGGAAACUUGUGCUAAUACCGAAUGUGCCCUUCGGGGGAAAGAUUUACCGCCUUUAGAGCGGCCCGCGUCUGAUUAGCUAGUUGGUGAGGUAAAGGCUCACCAAGGCGACGAUCAGUAGCUGGUCUGAGAGGAUGAUCAGCCACAUUGGGACUGAGACACGGCCCAAACUCCUACGGGAGGCAGCAGUGGGGAAUCUUGCGCAAUGGGCGAAAGCCUGACGCAGCCAUGCCGCGUGAAUGAUGAAGGUCUUAGGAUUGUAAAAUUCUUUCACCGGGGACGAUAACGACGGUACCCGGAGAAGAGGCCCCGGCUAACUUCGUGCCAGCCGCCGCAGUAA
rnacentral:rRNA from 1 species